AUUGAACGCUGGCGGCAGGCCUAACACAUGCAAGUCGAACGAGUGGCGGACGGGUGAGUAAUGUCUGGGAAACUGCCUGAUGGAGGGGGAUAACUACUGGAAACGGUAGCUAAUACCGCAUACCAUCGGAUGUGCCCAGAUGGGAUUAGCUAGUAGGUGGGGUAAAGGCUCACCUAGGCGACGAUCCCGAGCUGGUCUGAGAGGAUGACCAGCCACAUUGGAACUGGGCAACGGUCCAGACGCCAACGGGAGGAAGCAGUGGGGAAUAUUGGAGAAUGGGCGCAAUCCUGACGCAGACAUGCGGCGUGGAGGAAGAAGGCCUUCGGGUUGUAAAGUCCGUUGAGCGGGGAGGCGUUACCCACACAAGAAGCACCGGCUAACUCCGUGCCAGCAGCCGCGGUAAUAC
rnacentral:rRNA from 1 species